CUGAAACAUCUAAGUACCUGGAGGAAGAGAAAGAAAAAUCGAUUUCCUGAGUAGCGGCGAGCGAAACGGAAAGAGCCCAAACCAAGAAGCUUGCUUCUUGGGGUUGUAGGACACUCUAUACGGAGUUACAAAAGAAAGUUAUAAAUGAAGCGGUCUGGAAAGGCCCGCCAAAGACGGUAACAGCCCGGUAGUUGAAAUGGCUUUCCCUCCAGAGUGGAUCCUGAGUACGGCGGAACACGUGAAAUUCCGUCGGAAUCCGGGAGGACCAUCUCCCAAGGCUAAAUACUCCCUAGUGACCGAUAGUGAACCAGUACCGUGAGGGAAAGGUGAAAAGCACCCCGGAAGGGGAGUGAAACAGUUCCUGAAACCGUGUGCCUACAAGUAGUUAGAGCCCGUUAAUGGGUGAUAGCGUGCCUUUUGUAGAAUGAACCGGCGAGUUACGAUUUGUUGCAAGGUUAAGCGGAAAAAGCGGAGCCGUAGCGAAAGCGAGUCUGAAUAGGGCGCAUAAGUAACAGGUCGUAGACCCGAAACCAGGUGAUCUACCCAUGUCCAGGAUGAAGGUAAGGUAAUACUUACUGGAGGUCCGAACCCACGCACGUUGAAAAGUGCGGGGAUGAGGUGUGGGUAGCGGAGAAAUUCCAAUCGAACUUGGAGAUAGCUGGUUCUCUCCGAAAUAGCUUUAGGGCUAGCCUCGAGGUAAAGAGUCAUGGAGGUAGAGCACUGUUUGGACUAGGGGCCCUUCUCGGGUUACCGAAUUCAGAUAAACUCCGAAUGCCAUGUACUUAUACUCGGGAGUCAGACUGCGAGUGAUAAGAUCCGUAGUCGAAAGGGAAACAGCCCAGACCACCAGUUAAGGUCCCCAAAUAUAUGUUAAGUGGAAAAGGAUGUGGGGUUGCUUAGACAACCAGGAUGUUGGCUUAGAAGCAGCCACCAUUGAAAGAGUGCGUAAUAGCUCACUGGUCGAGUGACCCCGCGCCGAAAAUGUACCGGGGCUAAACAUAUUACCGAAACUGUGGAUGAACCUCUUUAGAGGUUCGUGGUAGGAGAGCGUUCUAAGGGCGGUGAAGUCAGACCGGAAGGACUGGUGGAGCGCUUAGAAGUGAGAAUGCCGGUAUGAGUAGCGAAAGAAGGGUGAGAAUCCCUUCCACCGAAUAUCUAAGGUUUCCUGAGGAAGGCUCGUCCGCUCAGGGUUAGUCGGGACCUAAGCCGAGGCCGAUAGGCGUAGGCGAUGGACAACAGGUAGAGAUUCCUGUACCAGUGCUAAUUGUUUAACCGAUGGGGUGACACAGAAGGAUAGGGAAUCGCACGAAUGGAAAUGUGCGUCCAAGCAGUGAGUGUGAGAAGUAGGCAAAUCCGCUUCUCGCGAAGCAUGAGCUGUGAUGGGGAAGGAAAUUAAGUACGGAAGUUCCUGAUUUCACGCUGUCAAGAAAAGCCUCUAGGAAGAGUAGUACUGCCCGUACCGCAAACCGACACAGGUAGAUGAGGAGAGAAUCCUAAGGUGAGCGAGAGAACUCUCGUUAAGGAACUCGGCAAAAUGACCCCGUAACUUCGGGAGAAGGG
rnacentral:rRNA from 1 species